UACAUUUCUUGUUUCAAAAAUAUUUUUUAAGAGUCUAUUUGUAUAAUUUUUGGCAUUCUAGAUGAAUAAGAUAUUACUUCUGCCUUGAGAAAGGAAGGAGUGAACUAAAGAGAAAUGAAUUGCCUUGGGAUUCCAUCUAUUAUAUUUAAGUGUGCCCUGAGUGUUAUAUACUCUUUGUUAAGAUACCCCUUAUGUCAUUGGAGAAGCUGGAAAAAGGAACAGUCCAAGGAAAAAAGUAUCUCCCUGCAUAUGGAAAGAGGAUCAGAUGGCAGAAAUAAAUUAUGAGAUCAGAAUCCUCAGUAAGCUAAAGGGAUAAUUAAGCUUACUUCUGUUUCCCAUCAUACCAAUUUGC
rnacentral:lncRNA from 1 species